rnacentral:rRNA from 1 species
AUUGAACGCUGGCGGCAUGACCUUACACAUGCAAGUCGAACGUGAAAGGGGGGCAACCCCCGAGUAGAGUGGCGGACGGGUGAGCAACACAUCGGAACGUACCCAGUAGUGGGGGACAACCUCGAGAAAUCGAGGCUAAUACCGCAUACGACCCACGGGUGAAAGCGGGGGACCGCAAGGCCUCGCGCUAUUGGAGCGGCCGAUGUCCGAUUAGCUUGUUGGUGGGGUAACGGCCCACCAAGGCGACGAUCGGUAGCUGGUCUGAGAGGAUGAUCAGCCACACUGGGACUGAGACACGGCCCAGACUCCUACGGGAGGCAGCAGUGGGGAAUUUUGGACAAUGGGGGCAACCCUGAUCCAGCCAUGCCGCGUGCGGGAAGAAGGCCUU